rnacentral:rRNA from 1 species
UACGAAGGGGGCUAGCGUUGCUCGGAAUCACUGGGCGUAAAGGGUGCGUAGGCGGGUCUUUAAGUCGGUGGUGAAAUCCUGGAGCUCAACUCCAGAACUGCCUUCGAUACUGAGAGUCUUGAGUCCGGGAGAGGUGAGUGGAACUGCGAGUGUAGAGGUGAAAUUCGUAGAUAUUCGCAAGAACACCAGUGGCGAAGGCGGCUCACUGGCCCGGUACUGACGCUGAGGUGCGAAAGCGUGGGGAGCAAACGGG